GUCUAUGGUCAUGACACCCUGAACAUGCUGGAUCUUGUCUGAUCUAGGAAGCUAAGCAGGGCUGGGCCUGGUUAGUACUUGGAUGGGAGACCACCUAGGAAUACCAGGUGCUGUAGGUG
rnacentral:rRNA from 1 species